AUGAAAUCCAAUUAGCUUAGCAUCUUGUUAUCCAAACUCCCCUGAAGACGAAAUUCACCUGGGACUCUUGAUGUCUCUCCCCACUUCCCAAGACUCUGCCCUGGAGAUUCUGAGGCAGUGAAUUGGGAUAAAAGGGCUGAAAUUUUUUAUUUUUAACAGCAUUUCAGGUGAUUCUGAUGCUCGGGGAGGCUAGGGAAACUGACAUGUUCUCCAGAGCCAACAGGGAGAAGAGACCUGCGGGAAUUAAAUGGCCAUUCAAAUAGCACCAUAGAAUCUUACAGCAUGAAAGGGUGGUGGACCUUGUUUAAUCUCAUCCUUUCACUUUACUGAUGGGAAAACUGAGUCCCAACAAGGGGACGUGACUUGCCCGUGGCUGCACAGCCUAGGUAUAGCAGAUUUAGAAUUUGAACCAACAUUUCCUGAUCCCCAAGGCACUUUGCUCUCUUUUAACAUCUUCAGGACCAGCAAGUACCAGUUGGUGUGAAAGGUACAGAGGCAGAAGCAAUUGAGAACUCUGGGAGAUAGCCAAGUAGGGAUGAAUGGCAGCUCUUGACUGAGAACAUCUUCUGAAGUGACCCUGGUAGUAUGAAGUUAUUUUAAAUCUGUGAUAUCUCAUCUGUUUAGCAAUCAAAAAUGAGCUCGACGGCCCCUCCCAGACCGUAUAAUAGGCUGGCUGUUCAAGGAGCACUAGAGGUUUGCAGUUCAAGGCUCACACAGUGGUUCUGCUUCAUAAGAAAAUAGAGCAAAUCAAGAAAGAAACUGUGGAAAAGCCACUCUUUUUAGAAGUUUGCAGCUUGACGAGCAGUGCUCAGUCCACGCCCGGGAUCCGAACCUGCAAACCAUGGGCCGCCAAAGCAGAGCACACAAACUUAACCACUGUGCCACUGGGCCAGCCCCCAGAUUGGCUUUUUGAUCACUUAUCCUGCAAUCCAUGUUCUUACCAGAGAUCUGAGCAGGAUAUGGAAAAUGUCUUCUGUUUCCUGCUGACACUGGUACUGAUAUCAAAAAUUUAUUUUUCUUUUA
rnacentral:lncRNA from 1 species